rnacentral:rRNA from 1 species
AUUGAACGCUGGCGGCAGGCCUAACACAUGCAAGUCGAACGGAUGAAGGGAGCUUGCUCCUGGAUUCAGCGGCGGCCGGGUGAGUCAUGCCUAUGAAUCUGCCUUGUCGUGGGGGAUCACGUCCGGAAACGGGCGCUAAUACCGCAUACGUCCUUAGGGAGAAAGUGGAGGGUCUUCGGACCUCACGCUAUCAGGUUAGCCUAGGUCGGAUUAGCUAGCUGGUGUGGGAAAGGCCUACCAAGGCGACGGUCCGUAACUGGUCUUAGAGGCUGAUCAGUCACACUGGAAGUGAGAAACGGUCCAGACACCUACGGGAGGCAGCAGUGGGGAAUAUUGGACGAUGGGCGAAAGACUGAUCCAGCCAUGCCGGGUGUGGGAAGAAGGUCUUCGGAUUGGAAAGCAAUGUAAGUUGGGAGGAAGGGCAGUAAGUUAAUACCGUGCUGUUUUGACGUUACCAACAGAAGAAGCACCGGCUAACUUCGUG